UAGGGAAUCUUCCACAAUGGACGCAAGUCUGAUGGAGCAACGCCGCGUGAGUGAAGAAGGUCUUCGGAUCGUAAAGCUCUGUUGUUGGUGAAGAAGGAUAGAGGCAGUAACUGGUCUUUAUUUGACGGUAAUCAACCAGAAAGUCACGGCUAACUACGUGCCAGCAGCCGCGGUAAUACGUAGGUGGCAAGCGUUGUCCGGAUUUAUUGGGCGUAAAGCGAGCGCAGGCGGAAUGAUAAGUCUGAUGUGAAAGCCCACGGCUCAACCGUGGAACUGCAUCGGAAACUGUCAUUCUUGAGUGCAGAAGAGGAGAGUGGAACUCCAUGUGUAGCGGUGGAAUGCGUAGAUAUAUGGAAGAACACCAGUGGCGAAGGCGGCUCUCUGGUCUGCAACUGACGCUGAGGCUCGAAAGCAUGGGUAGCGAACAGGAUUAGAUACCCUGGUAGUCCAUGCCGUAAACGAUGAGCGCUAG
rnacentral:rRNA from 1 species